AAGUCGUAACAAGGUUUCCGUAGGUGAACCUGCGGAAGGAUCAUUACGCAUAGGGACUGGCAGCCGAGUCCCCACCUAGCGAAAAUUAGGUGGGGUAAGGUGCGCCAGCAACCCCCCGAGCAUAUCGCCGGGCCACCCUGCCUUUUGAGCACCAUUUCGUUUCCUCGGCGGGCUUGCCCGCCACUGGGGACCCUCAAAAACCUUUUGUAAUGAGAAGUAACAGUAUUAUAAAGAAAUUAAUCACAACUUUCAACAAUGGAUCUCUUGGCUCUG
rnacentral:misc_RNA from 1 species